rnacentral:rRNA from 1 species
CCCGCCUGGGGACUACGAGCAUAAGCUUAAAACCCAAAGGACUUGGCGGUGCUUUAGACCCACCUAGAGGAGCCUGUUCUAUAACCGAUAACCCCCGUUAAACCUCACCUUCUUUUGUUAUUUCCGCCUAUAUACCGCCGUCGUCAGCUUACCCUGUGAAGGCCCUUCAGUAAGCAAAAUUGAAUUUUUCCAAAACGCCAGGUCGAGGUGUAGCAGAUGAGAAGGAAAGAAAUGGGCUACAUUUUCUAAAACAGAAAACACGGAUAUUACUAUGAAACAGUAUAUAGAAGGAGGAUUUAGCAGUAAGCAGAGAAUAGAGAGCUCU